GACGAACGCUGGCGGCGUGGAUUAGGCAUACAAGUCGAACGGUAUCAUCCUUUCGGGGGUGAGAGAGUGGCGAACUGGUGAGUAACACGUAGGUUAUCUACCCUCAAGACGGGGACAACCCAGGGAAACUUGGGCUAAUACCGGAUGUGAGCAACUUUUAGUUGUUUGAAAGGUGGCGUAAGCUGUCGCUUGGGGAUGAGCCUGCGUCCUAUUAGUUAGUUGGUGAGGUAACGGCUCACCUAGGCAAUGAUAGGUAGGCGGCCUUAACGGGUGGUCGCCCACACUGGGAUUGAGAUACGGCCCAGACUCCUACGGGAGGCAGCAGUCGAGAAUAGUCUACAAUGGUCGGAAGACUGAUAGUGCGACGCCGCGUGAACGAUGAAUCCCUUCGGGUGUAAAGUUCUUUUAUAUGUGAGCAGUGCUUCUUAUAUUAACAGUAUGGGGAGAGAGAUAUUAGCAUAUGAAUAAGCAACGGCUAACUCCGUGCCAGCAGCCGCGGUAACUCGUCU
rnacentral:rRNA from 1 species